AUUGAACGCUGGCGGCAUGCCUUACACAUGCAAGUCGAACGGCAGCACGGACUUCGGUCUGGUGGCGAGUGGCGAACGGGUGAGUAAAGUAUCGGAACGUGCCUGGUAGUGGGGGAUAACGAGUCGAAAGAUUCGCUAAUACCGCAUACGACCUGAGGGUGAAAGCAGGGGAUCUUCGGACCUUGUGCUAUCAGAGCGGCCGAUAUCUGAUUAGCUAGUUGGUGGGGUAAAGGCCCACCAAGGCGACGAUCAGUAGCUGGUUUGAGAGAACGACCAGCCACACUGGAACUGAGACACGGUCCAGACUCCUACGGGAGGCAGCAGUGGGGAAUUUUGGACAAUGGGGGCAACCCUGAUCCAGCAAUGCCGCGUGAGUGAAGAAGGCCCUCGGGUUGUAAAGCUCUUUUGUCAGGGAAGAAAAGGUUGUGGCUAAUAUCCACAGCUGAUGACGGUACCUGAAGAAUAAGCACCGGCUAACUACGUGCCAGCAG
rnacentral:rRNA from 1 species